ACGAAUAUUAUGACUGCAAUCCAAUUGCAGUACAGCUGCAGCUCGACCGCCGUUUGAUUGUUUUUCAACAUGAACACAACACAAGUGUAGAGUGCAUAUGCUCUGGCCACACAAAUGUGCCGAGUGCUGUGGAAUGCUGUACGAGGAUUUUGAAUGCAGCUCAAAUUUGCCUGACU